rnacentral:rRNA from 1 species
CGGGUGAGUAACGCGUAGAUAAUCUGCCUUAGACUCUGGGAUAACAUCUCGAAAGGGGUGCUAAUACCGGAUAAGCCCACGAAGACGUGAGUCUUUGCGGGAAAAGGGGGCCUCUGCAUAUGCUCUUGAUCUAAGAUGAGUCUGCGUACCAUUAGCUUGUUGGUAGGGUAAUGGCCUACCAAGGCGACGAUGGUUAGCUGGUCUGAGAGGAUGAUCAGCCACACUGGGACUGAGACACGGCCCAGACUCCUACGGGAGGCAGCAGUGGGGAAUUUUGCGCAAUGGGGGAAACCCUGACGCAGCAACGCCGCGUGAGUGAUGAAGGCUUUCGGGUCGUAAAGCUCUGUCUAGAGGGAAGAAGUGAUAUUUGGUUAAUACCCAGAUUUCUUGACGGUACCUCUGAAGGAAGCACCGGCUAACUCCGUGCCAGCAGCCGCGGUAAUACGGAGGGUGCAAGCGUUGUUCGGAAUUAUUGGGCGUAAAGCGCGUGUAGGCGGUUUGUUAAGUCUGAUGUGAAAGCCCUGGGCUCAACCUGGGAAGUGCAUUGGAAACUGGCAGACUUGAAUACGGGAGAGGGUAGUGGAAUUCCGAGUGUAGGAGUGAAAUCCGUAGAUAUUCGGAGGAACACCGGUGGCGAAGGCGGCUACCUGGACCGAUAUUGACGCUGAGACGCGAAAGCGUGGGUAGCAAACAGGAUUAGAUACCCUGGUAGUCCACGCCGUAAACGAUUUUUCUAGGUGUUGCG